GAUGAACGCUGGCGGCGUGCCUAAUACAUGCAAGUCGAGCGAACGGACGAGAAGCUUGUUUCUCUGAUGUUAGCGGCGGACGGGUGAGUAACACGUGGAUAACCUACCUAUAAGACUGGGAUAACUUCGGGAAACCGGAGCUAAUACCGGAUGAUAUUUUGAACCGCAUGGUUCAAAAGUGAAAGACGGUCUUGCUGUCACUUAUAGAUGGAUCCGCGCUGCAUUAGCUAGUUGGUAAGGUAACGGCUUACCAAGGCAACGAUGCAUAGCCGACCUGAGAGGGUGAUCGGCCACACUGGAACGGAGACGCGGUCCAGACUCCUACGGGAGGCAGCAGUAGGGAAUCUUCCGCAAUAGGCGGAAGCCUGACGGAGCAACGCCGCGUGAGUGAUGAAGGUCUUCGGAUCGUAAAGCUCUGUUAUUAGGGAAGAACAUAUGUGUAAGUAACUGUGCACAUCUUGACGGUACCUAAUCAGAAAGCCACGGCUAACUACGUG
rnacentral:rRNA from 1 species